rnacentral:lncRNA from 1 species
GCUGGGUUCUGAAUGAUAAGUAGGAGUUCUCCAGAUGAAAACCAAGGGCAAGAGCAGCACAUCAAAGAUGCUGCACCCCAAGGGGCUGUUGAUGAUCUAAUGCCUCCAGAAAUUGUAAAUGGUGUGUGUGUGCCUGAUUGUGCCCCUCACAUGAGACAGAAGCAGGAAACCACCCAGCAGACAGCAGGAGCAGCGUUGGAGAAGGCCUAGAUCUGUAAAUAAUGUGGUUAGCAUGGAAAGGAGGACCCCAUCUGGAUGACUAUUUGUCUGCUGCAGGGCAGUGAAGCACGGGAAAGCUCAGUUCUGAGCAUUCAGGAGAGCAGAGUGCUGUGGGCUCCACCCCAAGAUCAGGCCCGGUCCUGGGGCUGGGGACCUGGAGCACACAGUGGGGAGAAGGGAGGAGAUGCAUAGGCCUGUAGGAAGCAGCCUACCAGCUCGACCCUGACCAACAGGUGUGGAUUUCUGACAAGCAUCUUGCACCCGAAACUCCAUCCAUCUUAGCAUCUGCUUCCUGGAGACCCAGCAGGCUACAUCAGCUUUCUUCAUUCAGUGGCUAUAGAUGGAGUGUGGAUAACAUAUAAAUGUUCUGAGUUCUGAGCACAUGGACUAGUGGAACAAGAAGACCUGAAAACCAGUAACCCCCAGAAGGAUGUAACGCCUGGAAAGACCCUAUGUCCAAAUAUGCUGACAUUCGGAGAUGAGUGCUCAGAAGAAGCCUGUGGUGACCCAGAUGGGUCCAUGGAGCAUGGCUAUGUGUGGGCCCAGGAUGCCCAGAUUCCAGUCUGAACUCCUUCAGGCAAUGAUGGAUGCACUCGUGAGGGCUGCUGUCACCAAGGACGUAGAGCUGAGGCUCUGGCCAGCAGCAGUCUUGUCUCAUGUUCCGGAGGAGAGAAGUUUGGGCUCCAUGAAUGGCUUCCUGCAAAGCUAUGAGGGGGAUCCAGUCCUGUCCCCUCCUCUAGCUCUGAAGAUUGUGCAAUCACUGCUGUCAUCAGAUGCAGAAACCCCACCUUCAGCCUCGUCUGUGUGUGGGGGGGUGUGCAUAUGUGCACGUGUGUGUGUAUGUGACUGUGUGUGUUUCUGUGUUCAAAUUCACCUUUAGAAAAGAACACCAGUCAUAUCAGAUUAAGGGCCUGCUACAGUUUAGAUAUACGAUGUCCCCCAAAAGUGGAGCUUUUGGAAGAUGAGUGCAUCACGAGGGCACUGUGCUAGUGAGUGGAUUCAUCUGUUGAUGAGUUAGAGUCUGGGUGAGCUAUUAGGAGAGAGGGACUGGUUGAAUGGGUUAGGUCACAAAGUGAGUGUGACCUGAAAGUGUGUGUUCUUGUCUCUAUCUCUUUCCUUCUCUCUCUGCUUCCUGGCUGCCAUAAAUUAAGCAGUUUCCCACCAUGACACCCUUCCACCAUGAUGUGUCUGCCUUGGAGCCACUGACAUGGACUGGAUCCUCUAAAACUGUGAGCCAAAAUAAGCCUCAUCUCCUUUAAGUUGUGG